UACGGAGGGUGCGAGCGUUGUCCGGAAUCAUUGGGCGUAAAGGGCGCGUAGGUGGCCCGGUCAGUCUUUGGUGAAAGCGCGGGGCUCAACCCUGCGUCGGCCAGGGAUACUGCCGCGGCUCGAGCACUGUAGAGGCAGGCGGAAUUCCGGGUGUAGCGGUGAAAUGCGCAGAUAUCAGGAAGAACACCAAUGGCGAAGGCAGCUCUCUGGGACGGUACUGACGCUGAGACGCGAAAGCGUGGGGAGCGAACAGG
rnacentral:rRNA from 1 species